rnacentral:rRNA from 1 species
UUAAGCGACUAAGCGUACACGGUGGAUGCCCUGGCAGUCAGAGGCGAUGAAGGACGUGCUAAUCUGCGAUAAGCGUCGGUAAGGUGAUAUGAACCGUUAUAACCGGCGAUUUCCGAAUGGGGAAACCCAGUGUGUUUCGACACACUAUCAUUAACUGAAUCCAUAGGUUAAUGAGGCGAACCGGGGGAACUGAAACAUCUAAGUACCCCGAGGAAAAGAAAUCAACCGAGAUUCCCCCAGUAGCGGCGAGCGAACGGGGAGCAGCCCAGAGCCUGAAUCAGUGUGUGUGUUAGUGGAAGCGUCUGGAAAGGCGCGCGAUACAGGGUGACAGCCCCGUACACAAAAAUGCACAUGCUGUGAGCUCGAUGAGUAGGGCGGGACACGUGGUAUCCUGUCUGAAUAUGGGGGGACCAUCCUCCAAGGCUAAAUACUCCUGACUGACCGAUAGUGAACCAGUACCGUGAGGGAAAGGCGAAAAGAACCCCGGCGAGGGGAGUGAAAAAGAACCUGAAACCGUGUACGUACAAGCAGUGGGAGCACGCUUAGGCGUGUGACUGCGUACCUUUUGUAUAAUGGGUCAGCGACUUAUAUUCUGUAGCAAGGUUAACCGAAUAGGGGAGCCGAAGGGAAACCGAGUCUUAACUGGGCGUUAAGUUGCAGGGUAUAGACCCGAAACCCGGUGAUCUAGCCAUGGGCAGGUUGAAGGUUGGGUAACACUAACUGGAGGACCGAACCGACUAAUGUUGAAAAAUUAGCGGAUGACUUGUGGCUGGGGGUGAAAGGCCAAUCAAACCGGGAGAUAGCUGGUUCUCCCCGAAAGCUAUUUAGGUAGCGCCUCGUGAAUUCAUCUCCGGGGGUAGAGCACUGUUUCGGCAAGGGGGUCAUCCCGACUUACCAACCCGAUGCAAACUGCGAAUACCGGAGAAUGUUAUCACGGGAGACACACGGCGGGUGCUAACGUCCGUCGUGAAGAGGGAAACAACCCAGACCGCCAGCUAAGGUCCCAAAGUCAUGGUUAAGUGGGAAACGAUGUGGGAAGGCCCAGACAGCCAGGAUGUUGGCUUAGAAGCAGCCAUCAUUUAAAGAAAGCGUAAUAGCUCACUGGUCGAGUCGGCCUGCGCGGAAGAUGUAACGGGGCUAAACCAUGCACCGAAGCUGCGGCAGCGACGCUUAUGCGUUGUUGGGUAGGGGAGCGUUCUGUAAGCCUGUGAAGGUGUGCUGUGAGGCAUGCUGGAGGUAUCAGAAGUGCGAAUGCUGACAUAAGUAACGAUAAAGCGGGUGAAAAGCCCGCUCGCCGGAAGACCAAGGGUUCCUGUCCAACGUUAAUCGGGGCAGGGUGAGUCGACCCCUAAGGCGAGGCCGAAAGGCGUAGUCGAUGGGAAACAGGUUAAUAUUCCUGUACUUGGUGUUACUGCGAAGGGGGGACGGAGAAGGCUAUGUUGGCCGGGCGACGGUUGUCCCGGUUUAAGCGUGUAGGCUGGUUUUCCAGGCAAAUCCGGAAAAUCAAGGCUGAGGCGUGAUGACGAGGCACUACGGUGCUGAAGCAACAAAUGCCCUGCUUCCAGGAAAAGCCUCUAAGCAUCAGGUAACAUCAAAUCGUACCCCAAACCGACACAGGUGGUCAGGUAGAGAAUACCAAGGCGCUUGAGAGAACUCGGGUGAAGGAACUAGGCAAAAUGGUGCCGUAACUUCGGGAGAAGGCACGCUGAUAUGUAGGUGAAGUCCCUUGCGGAUGGAGCUGAAAUCAGUCGAAGAUACCAGCUGGCUGCAACUGUUUAUUAAAAACACAGCACUGUGCAAACACGAAAGUGGACGUAUACGGUGUGACGCCUGCCCGGUGCCGGAAGGUUAAUUGAUGGGGUCAGCGCAAGCGAAGCUCUUGAUCGAAGCCCCGGUAAACGGCGGCCGUAACUAUAACGGUCCUAAGGUAGCGAAAUUCCUUGUCGGGUAAGUUCCGACCUGCACGAAUGGCGUAAUGAUGGCCAGGCUGUCUCCACCCGAGACUCAGUGAAAUUGAACUCGCUGUGAAGAUGCAGUGUACCCGCGGCAAGACGGAAAGACCCCGUGAACCUUUACUAUAGCUUGACACUGAACAUUGAGCCUUGAUGUGUAGGAUAGGUGGGAGGCUUUGAAGUGUGGACGCCAGUCUGCAUGGAGCCGACCUUGAAAUACCACCCUUUAAUGUUUGAUGUUCUAACGUUGACCCGUAAUCCGGGUUGCGGACAGUGUCUGGUGGGUAGUUUGACUGGGGCGGUCUCCUCCUAAAGAGUAACGGAGGAGCACGAAGGUUGGCUAAUCCUGGUCGGACAUCAGGAGGUUAGUGCAAUGGCAUAAGCCAGCUUGACUGCGAGCGUGACGGCGCGAGCAGGUGCGAAAGCAGGUCAUAGUGAUCCGGUGGUUCUGAAUGGAAGGGCCAUCGCUCAACGGAUAAAAGGUACUCCGGGGAUAACAGGCUGAUACCGCCCAAGAGUUCAUAUCGACGGCGGUGUUUGGCACCUCGAUGUCGGCUCAUCACAUCCUGGGGCUGAAGUAGGUCCCAAGGGUAUGGCUGUUCGCCAUUUAAAGUGGUACGCGAGCUGGGUUUAGAACGUCGUGAGACAGUUCGGUCCCUAUCUGCCGUGGGCGCUGGAGAAUUGAGGGGGGCUGCUCCUAGUACGAGAGGACCGGAGUGGACGCAUCACUGGUGUUCGGGUUGUCAUGCCAAUGGCACUGCCCGGUAGCUAAAUGCGGAAGAGAUAAGUGCUGAAAGCAUCUAAGCACGAAACUUGCCCCGAGAUGAGUUCUCCCUGACUCCUUGAGAGUCCUGAAGGAACGUUGAAGACGACGACGUUGAUAGGCCGGGUGUGUAAGCGCAGCGAUGCGUUGAGCUAACCGGUACUAAUGAACCGUGAGGCUUAACCUU